rnacentral:misc_RNA from 1 species
AUAAGUCAACUAAAUAUUUUAUCCAAGAUUUAUUGAUGGAUGGACUUAUUUGGUUGUGCGUGUUGUUCUCUCGUUCACUUAGCUUGUGUUCGGUUGGAUGAAAUAUUAGCAUCCUUGGCAUCAAAUGCCUUACAUGUUUUGGUCAACAUUGUAUGGUAUUGAUGUUGUCAAGUUAAAACUGAAAGGCCAAACAGAAUGCCGAUCAUAUUAUCAUGAAAUGAGAGAAAC